UCCGGAGGGUGCAAGCGUUAAUCGGAAUUACUGGGCGUAAAGCGCACGCAGGUGGCUGAGUCAGUCGAUUGUGAAAGCCCUGGGCUUAACCUGGGAAUUGCAGUCGAUACUACUCAGCUAGAGUAUGGGAGAGGGCAGUGGAAUUCCCGGUGUAGCGGUGAAAUGCGUAGAGAUCCGGAGGAACACCAGUGGCGAAGGCGACACGCUGGGCCGUACCUGACGCUAAAGCGCGACAGCAUGGGGAGCAAACGGG
rnacentral:rRNA from 1 species